AAAUUAUGUAAUGCAAAUGUUACGGAAUCGGAAUAUCAUUUUCUUCUGUGUUGCAAUAGGUAUGCAGAUAUACGUAAAACAUAUCUAGGCCACAUAUCGUGGCCUUCCGUAAACAAAUUCAAUAAUUUGAUGUCAACCAGAAAU
rnacentral:lncRNA from 1 species